CCUACGGGAGGCAGCAGUGAGGAAUAUUGGACAAUGGGCGCAAGCCUGAUCCAGCCAUGCCGCGUGCAGGAUGACGGUCCUAUGGAUUGUAAACUGCUUUUAUACAGGAAGAAACCCUACUACGUGUAGUAGAUUGACGGUACUGUAGGAAUAAGGAUCGGCUAACUCCGUGCCAGCAGCCGCGGUAAUACGGAGGAUGCGAGCGUUAUCCGGAUUUAUUGGGUUUAAAGGGUGCGUAGGCGGAUUAAUAAGUCAGUGGUGAAAACCUGCAGCUUAACUGUAGAAUUGCCAUUGAUACUGUUAGUCUUGAGUACGGUCAAGGUAGGCGGAAUGUGUAAUGUAGCGGUGAAAUGCUUAGAUAUUACACAGAACACCGAUUGCGAAGGCAGCUUACUGGGCCAUUACUGACACUGAUGCACGAAAGCGUGGGGAGCGAACAGGAUUAGAUACCCUGGUAGUCCACGCCGUAAACGAUGAUCACUCGCUGUUGGCGAUACACAGCCAGCGGCUAAGCAAAAGCAUUAAGUGAUCCCUGGGGAGUACGGCCGCAAGGCUGAAACUCAAAGGAAUUGACGGA
rnacentral:rRNA from 1 species